UCAUUCACUCUUAUUUUCAGCUUUUGUUUUAUGUACUUGGGAAGGCUUUAACCUCUCACGUCUUUAAAAUUCCGGUGUGAAAGUGACCCCUGAAGCCUCAUGCACUCAACUCGUUUGACGUGUUCUCUCUUGCCCUUGUCUGUUGUCUUGAGUCUCAUAGCAUAUGUUUGAAACUUUCACUGUCGGUUUUGGAGGAGCCACUGUGGAUAUUGACGGGGCAAGUGACAGGAUCGUCAGUCUUGUAGAGAGAUUAUAUAGGAACCAGGUGUCUGAAAGAUUCGAGGCAGGGGAAAGAGUGGGAAAGCAAUUCGUAGGCUAGGGUAUUUGUGCGUGAGGUGACAUGCAAAGCUAGUGGAGGCAUUAGAGCAGGGGUUAGCAAACAUUUUUUGUAAAGAGCCAGAUUAUAUUUUAAGUCUGUCUAAACUACUCAACUCUACCUUGUAAUAAGAAAGCAUCCAUAGACAAUGAAUGAGUGUGGCUGUGUUCCAAUAAAACUUUAUGGACGUUGAAAUGUUAGUGUAAUUUCAGGUAUCAUGAAAUAUUAUUUUGAUUUAAAAAAUCAUUUAAAUAUGUAAAAACUUUUUUUUUUUUUGGCCUUGGAGGUGUGCAAAAACAACUUGUAAGCCAUAUUGCUGAGCCCUGCAUUAGAGGUACUUGAAGAGUGACACAAUUGGUGAUAAGUGACCAUAUAUUCUAUCCUUCAAUAUGGAACACUUUUGGAAGUAAACAGGGCAUUAAUAAUUAUAGCCAGAGAAGAGGAAUUAUUAAAUCAAUUUAUAUCAGGCAAACCUAAGUGAAUGGUCCCUAAGGUUAAGGGUUAGGAGAAGUCAAAAUUGCUUUAGGACUUGGUAACAGAAAAUGGGAGGUGCCAGUGUUGGAAGUAGGAAGAUAAAGAAGAAACUGGUUUUGAGGAGAAGAUAGCUACAGCAGUCCCAAGAGCCAUAUACAAUUGGGACAGCAUUAAUAGGAAGAAGGAAAGCACCCAGAACCAGGCCACUCCUUAUAUCUUAUUGACCAGAACUGGGCUAUUAGCUAUCCCUAAAGCAGUAACAGACAAGGAGUAUGGGACAUCCAUGAUUACCUAGUGUUUAUUUAUCUGGCUUUUCCAGUUCUUAUGCAGGACCGUGUUGGGCGUUGCUGGACAUUCAGCAUCUCUGGUUCCUUCCAACUAAAUAUCAGUAGCACACCUCAGGCAGUGUGACACCGUAAAGCAGCCCAUUUCCUCUCCUCCCCCCAGAGGUGUGAUGCUUGUUGAGAACCACUGGCUUAGGCUCUCAGGAUUUACUUUGGGGCUGAAUUAUGUGUGUGUAGAUUUCUUUUCCAAUUGGUUUGGAGGGAAGAGAGGAAUUGGACAGUAUUAAAGUUAUGUUGUCACGGAAGUGGGGUGGAGAAUGUUAGCUAACCACCAUUGGCUGCCACGGAAGUAAAAAGUUUUCCUUUAUACCCUUGCUAAAAUAAAUCUCCCGACUUCUUCACAGUUGAAGGCUUCCCAAAACCGGAGCUUUUUUGGAUUCUCAUUGUAAGCCCCUUGAACUGGGCUAGUUGGGAGUUCUUAUUUUCCACUCUAAGUAACAAUCUCUUGUCCCAGUAGGAUACUCCUGCUUUGAAUACCUCAAUAACUUUGCAAUUGGUGACUUGUCAUCAGUUUUCUCCUACUUCAUUCCUAUACAAAGGGACUAGACCUGUGUUCUGAUUUCCCUUGCUCAGACACCAAUCUCCAGGGGUGCUCUGUAAUGUAAAGAGAACAUUUCAGAAAGCUCAAUUGGCACUCAAGGGCCUCCAUAAGUCCCUGAAUGGCUUCCCUGCCUUCCCCUUCUGCAGCAAACAAUUCCUUGGAUACUCUCUAUUAAAUGAUACAUUUCCCCUGAUGAUACCUAGUCCCUUGCCCCGUUUAUGCUAUGUGCAUUUUCCACUCUAGGACUUGGCUCAUGCUGUUUCCUCACUGAGAGUACCCUUCUCAUUUCCAGCCACACAGUUUCCAUUAACUUCCCAUUCUUUCGCUUAAUUCUACCUCCACCCAAGGCCUCUAACUGUAUCAGCCCACAUUAACCUGUCUUCUUUGAAUUUCUAUGUAUUCCUUGCCUAUGCCAUCCAUUUUGGCCUUUUAUUUUAUGUUCUUGACUUUUCUGUUACUGAAACUGUCCUUUGGAUCCCAAGAUUUCCCCUUAUCCUCUGUGAAGGCUCUUUUUUUGGACUUCUUUCUACCCUCCUUUUUCUCUUUAUAUACCUACCUUGCCUAAAGGACAUCUACAAGAAUCCAUCAUCUAGAUUAUUUUCACCCUAUUAGCGUUUUUUCCGACACUUCAUCUAUUUACUGAUUUACCUGUAAUCUCGCCUGACUUUUCUCUGGAAGAUAUUAGUACUAGCCACCAAAUAUUUUUGUUUCUUUUUCCACACACAUAGUAGAUUUAGAUUUCCCUACUCCAUUUACCUCACGAGGGCCAAUAAAAUGUGAUUGGAAAUGACUUGUGUCAUUUCCAAACAAAAGCUUUAAGAUCCUGUAAACAUCCUGCUCUCUUUGUUUCUGCCACAGUGAUUAAAUAUUUUAAUUAUCUAUUGUCCCAUGACAAAGCACCUUAAAUCUUAAUGGUUUAAAACAGUCACCAGUUUUAGGUUUUGUGGGUUGACUAGGCUCAUGGGCAGUUGUCUGAUCUUACUUAGGGUCUGUCUUGUGGUUCCAGCCCGGUAUUGUCUGGGGCUAGCGUAUUUGGAGACUCAGCUGGGUUGCUAGAAUGGCUGAGCCUUUCUAUUUACCAGAAAGGAGUCUCUGUUCCAAAGAUUCCCUGAUUCACAUUGCUUCUUCAGUAGAGUAGCCUGACUUCUUGCAUGGUGGCUUAGGAUUCUCAAGUGCAGAAAAGCAAAAACUUCCAGGUUUUAUAAGUCUUAUGCCUGGAAAUGACAUAUUGUAUUGGUAAAAGUGGUCAAAGGGGCAGCUCAGUUUUAAGGGGAGAAGAAAUAAACACUUUGAUAGGGGCAGAGGAAGAGUGACAAAGAAUCUGGCCAUCUUUAUUACAAAAAUUUUUGUCAACCACAGAGUUCCAGGAAAAUGUGGCCAUCUUUAUUACUCUAAUGAUGUUUCAAAUUGUGUAGGCUUCUAUCAGUCAGGGUCUCAGAGAAAGGAAAAAGUGGAAAAGAGCUCCCAGUUAACACACAUAAAUAUAUGAAUAAGAAGCACAUCUCUGCUAUUCUAAGUCACUGAACUAUUUGGAGUUGUUUGGUAUCAACUUUUGCAUACUAACAUAAAAACUGGUACGGGAAAUAGGGUGGUUUUAUAACAAAAAUCUAAAAUAUGAGUCACUGAUGUAUAUAAUAAUUGUGUUAGAAAUAUUUGUGGUUGGUUGGUAGGCAGUGUCCAGCUCUGACUUACUUAUACAUUUCCCAGUGAAUCUAGCUCAGAAGUUUACACCAUGAUAUUCAAUAAAUAAUUCUUAAAUAAGAGAGAUUGUUGUAUUUUUUUUCUAUUUCAGGGAAUAGAGAAUUUUUUUUUCCAUAUCACACAUUUCUUGAAACGUAGAAGGGGUGCCAUGAAUCUGUUAUUUGAUGCUCUGUUCCAGUGCCACCAGUGAGUUUCCUGAUGUGGCGUUUUGGGGGCAGAAUCUACAGUUUACCAGUGGCCCCAGAAUGUCCUACAAAAGAGGUGAAAUCAGUAUUGGAGAAGUGGUCUUAUGAAGAUGGGAGCAGGACUACUCCAAUUGACUGCCGACUUCUCACCCAAUGGAAUAACCACAUCCCAACCUGAUCUCAGUGGAUAAGCCCAUAGGGUUAAGAACCCUCCUAUGGUUAAUAGUGAACAGAGUGGUACUCUCAGAGUCGAUUCCACAUAGGAUCUGGCAUUGGAUGCCUUGCACAUAAGACCAGCCUUACUGCAUAUUCAUGAAAUGACUUGGUCAAGCGAUGUAACCUUUACUUCAGUUUCUUCAUGUGUAAAAUGGGAAUGAAAACUUCCUCCUAGAGGUCGCAUAUGACAAUAAAGUGAGGAAACAAAGGGUAAUGAAUGCUGCGUGGUAGAAGAGGAGAGAACUCUGGCAUGUGGCUUUACGUCAGGAGGACACACUUGAGCUUUGGGAUUUGGAAGAGGCAUGUUGGGGCAAAGAUGACAGAGCUUUGUUCUUCUGGUCCUGCCUCUGUCCAGGCUUCCCUUGCCCCAGAAUAGGUGACUUCAUGGCAAAGGUAACA